UGAGGAAGAUGAUGGCAUCAGAAUCCAGUAUUUGCUUAAUCAGCAGCUUGUGGUUGUUUAUCUGAGUCAAAGAUCAGAGAACGGCCAAUCACAGCCAAACAUCAACAAUGUCAGCCAAUAUCUGAUAAGAAGAACAUGGUAGAGGACACAGCAAAGAACUUACACAAACACCCAAAAGCAGGCGUAGAGUGAGAAUUAAGAAACGUGUGUCUGUGAGGCACCAGGUUGCACACGUUCACAUUUUAACUAUCAGUCUCCUUCAAAGAAAUAUCAUGGAGUUUCCUUAAUAUCCUUCAUAGAAUGAUCAGGAAUGAUGUUGAGAUCUGGCCAGAAAAAAAAGAGGGAGGGAAAACCAGGCGGUCCCAGCAGAUGGAGUUUCUGGUGCAUAUUUGCAGCAGGACACGCUCUUCCUCUUGUCCCAUGAGAAUACAGCAUUUGGCAGCCAAACUUAUUUUGCAGAAACUGUUCAGGCAAGCAG